rnacentral:rRNA from 1 species
AUUGAACGCUGGCGGCAGGCCUAACACAUGCAAGUCGAACGAGUGGCGGACGGGUGAGUAAUGUCUGGGAAACUGCCCAAUGGAGGGGGAUAACUUCUGGAAACAGUCGCUAAUACCGCAUACCAUCAGAUCCGCCCAUAUCGGAUUAGCUUGUUGGUGGGGUAAAGGCUCACCAAGGAGACGAUCCGUAGCUGGUCUGAGAGGAGGACCAGCCACACGGGAACUGAGACACGGUCCAGACUCCUACGGGAGGCAGCAGUGGGGAAUAUUGCACAAGGGGAGCAAGCCUGAUGCAGCCAUGCCGCGUGUAUGAAGAAGGCCUUCGGGUGGUAAAGUACUUUGAGCGAGGAGGCGUUACCCGCAGAAGAAGCACCGGCUAACUACGUGCCAGCAGCCGCGGUAAUAC